rnacentral:rRNA from 1 species
GACGUAGGGGGCAAGCGUUGUCCGGAUUCAUUGGGCGUAAAGAGCUCGUAGGCGGCUUGGCAAGUCAGAUGUGAAACCCUCAGGCUUAACCUGGGGCCGCCAUCUGAUACUGCUAUGGCUAGAGUACGGUAGGGGAUCGUGGAAUUCCUGGAGUAGCGGUGAAAUGCACAGAUCUUAGGAGGAACACCAGUGGCGAAGGCGGCGAUCUGGGCCGGUACUGACGCUGAGGAGAGAAAGCGUGGGGAGCAAACAGG